AGUGAACGCUGGCGGUAGGCCUAACACAUGCAAGUCGAACGGCAGCACAGUAAGAGCUUGCUCUUACGGGUGGCGAGUGGCGGACGGGUGAGGAAUACAUCGGAAUCUACUUUUUCGUGGGGGAUAACGUAGGGAAACUUACGCUAAUACCGCAUACGACUUACGGGUGAAAGCAGGGGAUCUUCGGACCUUGCGCGAUUGAAUGAGCCGAUGUCGGAUUAGCUAGUUGGCGGGGUAAAGGCCCACCAAGGCGACGAUCCGUAGCUGGUCUGAGAGGAUGAUCAGCCACACUGGAACUGAGACACGGUCCAGACUCCUACGGGAGGCAGCAGUAGGGAAUAUUGGACAAUGGGCGCAAGCCUGAUCCAGCCAUACCGCGUGGGUGAAGAAGGCCUUCGGGUUGUAAAGCCCUUUUGUUGGGAAAGAAAAGCAGCAGGUUAAUACCCCGCUGUUCUGACGGUACCCAAAGAAUAAGCACCGGCUAACUUCGUG
rnacentral:rRNA from 1 species